rnacentral:ncRNA from 1 species
CCUUAUCAAGAGAGGCGGAGGGAACAGGCCCGAUGAAGCCCGGCAACCUGCUGAAAAAGGCAAGGUGCCAAUUCCUGCGGCUGUGGCCGGCAGAUGAGG